GUCGAGGAGCAGCUUCCCCGCCUCCCGACUCUGCUGCGGACCUGAGCCCCAGGCGGCGAAAGCCGUUUUGUUGCGUGCGUUCGUCCCGUCCUCACUCCCGGGGAGGCGGAGGGGAUCCAGAGACGGCCGGGGAACCCAGCGCGGUAGCUGCCGGAGACACGUCAACUCGCAACCAAAACGGGAAAACCGAACAAUGUGGCCCAGGACAUCCCGCGGGGCACG
rnacentral:misc_RNA from 1 species